GUUUUUAAGCAGCUUCAUCAAACAUGAGGGGAAUGAAUGAAAUGUCUGAGCUCCUUGUGUGUGAGAAGCUUUCACCCCCAGCCUCUAAGAGACCAAUCACCACUUUGACCUGCUUCUACUUUAAUAUGAGACUCCUCAGUGAGGACAUGAUGGAGGAGAUGAAAAGAUGCUGCUGACAGGAGGAAACUAGACAGCAGAGGACGGUUCAUCCGUCCCUAAUAAAACUCAGACCGGGUCCAGCAUCAGAUGAGAGAACUCUUCAGACCUAAAGCCUCAGCAGUCCAGGCAUGUACUCAAGACCUGGACCGGAGGGUCGCCACGGUCUUUAAGACACAAGACUCACAAACACUUUGGCAGCUGGACGUCCCGACCGAGGAAAAGGCUAAAAUCAGGAUCAUGAUACUGGAAACAAGGACGUCGUCCUUCUUCCGGGACAUCCAGCUGUUCCGUCAUCAAACGUGGCACAAAGCAGAAGCUGCUGAACGAGGGCAUGAACUGAACGGAUCUGAAUUCCAGAAAUCUGGGACCAACGGAGUUCCUGAACCAAUAAGAGACGCCUUUGGAGGGAAGCUGUCAGCUGAUGUCAGCCUAGAGUUUCUGACGGCAUGUGGCAACAGACUGAUUUCAGCCAAACUGCAGCUGGACAGCAGCUGGAUGCAGAUCUGAUACACAAAGUCUAGAAAUGGAAAGUUGUGUCCAUCAGACCAACACAGCGGAUUCUGGGAUGUUCUGCUCUCUUGGUGAAACAAGCUAAACAUUGUCAGUCAGCACUAAUCUUUGUAACGUCAGCUCUUCAUGAACUUUCUUUAAACUUUGUGUCUAUGAACAAACUGAAGACGUGUUAAAUUUCUAGCGAGGAGUAAAUGUGGGGCUUUGCUCUGGAAUUUGACUGAGAUCUAAUAAUGAGGGAAUCUGCUGCUCUACAGAGAUGCCGAUCACCAAAGUCUGGACAACACAGCUUUUAAAGAAACCAACUGCUGACUUUUCACAUACUUUUCAGUUUAACGUAUUCAGAGAUGGACUGAAAACACUUGGUGUGCUGGACUAAAUCCAAGCUCAGCUCUUCUGUGCUGGUCUCCUGCAGCCUCUCAGCUGAUGUGGCCGACAGUCUUUUCAUUAUCCGCCAUCUCCAGCUGGCAGCAACAGAAGCUGCUGAGGAAGUUCUUCCUUUCUGGAGACACACGCAGAAAUGAGGAAGGAACAGAAACUGGGAACGAUCCUCGCCUUUUCCACAGGAGCCAACACUCCUUCACCGACUGGGUUCUCUCCUCCACAAAGAGGAGGAUUCAGGAAGCUGCAAAGCUGCCGCUGCAAACAGCUGCACUAACUGCUUGAAGCUACGCUGCAGACCUCAUACGGAGACCUUCAGGAAAACAGGGGCUCUGCGGUGGGCGGGACCCUUGGUUUUAGCCCAGCGUAAUAUGUGUACAGGUCUGG